AAAAACACCGCCUCCUGCAAAAAUCCACGUAUAGGAGGUCCUACCUGCCCAGUGACUUAGUUUAACGGCCGCGGUAUUUUGACCGUGCAAAGGUAGCGCAAUCACUUGUCUUUUAAAUAAAGACCUGUAUGAAUGGUAAGACGAGGGCUUAACUGUCUCCCUUUUCCAAUCAAUGAAAUUGAUCUACCCGUGCAGAAGCGGGUAUAAAUAUACAAGACGAGAAGACCCUAUGGAGCUUAAGACAAAAAGUCACCUAUGCAUAAAUCCUUAAUAAAAAGAAUAAAGCUAAACACUAACUGACUAACGUCUUCGGUUGGGGCGACCGCGGAGAAAAAAAAAUCCUCCACGUGGAAUGGACUACCCCCUCCUAAACCACGAAACACACCUCUAAGUCACAGAACUUCUGACCAAGCGAUCCGGUGUUAACCGAUCAACGAACCAAGUUACCCUAGGGAUAACAGCGCAAUCCCCUUCAAGAGUCCAUAUCGACAAGGGGGUUUACGACCUCGAUGUUGGAUCAGGACAUCCUAAUGGUGCAGCCGCUAUUAAGGGUUCGUUUGUUCAACGAUUAAAGUCCUACGUGAU
rnacentral:rRNA from 1 species